rnacentral:rRNA from 1 species
GACGAACGCUGGCGGCGUGCUUAACACAUGCAAGUCGAACGGGGCGAAGUGAUAGCUUGCUAUUAUGGAGCCUAGUGGCAAACGGGUGAGUAACGCGUAGGCAACCUGCCCUUCAGAUGGGGACAACACCUCGAAAGGGGUGCUAAUACCGAAUGACGUUUCCUAGUCGCAUGACCUGGAAACCAAAGGCCGGGCAACCGGUCACUGAAGGAUGGGCCUGCGUCUGAUUAGCUAGUUGGUGGGGUAACGGCCCACCAAGGCGACGAUCAGUAGCCGGCCUGAGAGGGUGAACGGCCACAUUGGGACUGAGACACGGCCCAAACUCCUACGGGAGGCAGCAGUGGGGAAUAUUGCACAAUGGGGGAAACCCUGAUGCAGCGACGCCGCGUGAGUGAAGAAGUAUUUCGGUAUGUAAAGCUCUAUCAGCAGGAAAGAAAAUGACGGUACCUGACUAAGAAGCCCCGGCUAACUACGUGCCAGCAGCCGC